CCUACGGGUGGCAGCAGUGGGGAAUAUUGCACAAUGGGCGAAAGCCUGAUGCAGCAACGCCGCGUGAAGGAAGAAGGGUUUCGGCUCGGAAAAUUCUAUCAACAGGGACGAAAGAAAUGACGGUACCUGAAUAAGAAGCCCCGGCUAACUACGUGCCAGCAGCCGCGGUAAUAAGUAGGGGGCAAGCGUUAUCCGGAAUUAAUGGGUGUAAAUGGGGAGUAGGCGGGAUGGUAGGCCAGAUGUGAAAGCCCUGGGCUUAACCCGGGGAUUGCAUUUGGAACUGUCUAGCUUGAGUGCAGGAGAGGAAAGCGGAAUUCCUAGUGUAGCGGUGAAAUGCGUAGAUAUUAGGAAGAACACCAGUGGCGAAGGCGGCUUUCUGGACUGAAACUGACGCUGAGGCACGAAAGCGUGGGGAGCGAACAGGAUUAGAUACCCGAGUAGUC
rnacentral:rRNA from 1 species